CUACGGGACGCAGCAGUGGGGAAUAUUGCACAAUGGAGGAAACUCUGAUGCAGCAACGCCGCGUGGAGGAUGACACUUUUCGGAGCGUAAACUCCUUUUAUAUAGGAAGAAGAUGACGGUACUAUAUGAAUAAGCGCCGGCUAACUCCGUGCCAGCAGCCGCGGUAAUACGGAGGGCGCAAGCGUUACUCGGAAUCACUGGGCGUAAAGAGCGUGUAGGCGGAUUGAAAAGUCAGAAGUGAAAUCCUAUAGCUUAACUAUAGAACUGCUUCUGAAACUCUUAAUCUAGAAUAUGGGAGAGGUAGAUGGAAUUUCUGGUGUAGGGGUAACAUCCGUAGAGAUCAGAAGGAAUACCGAUUGCGAAGGCGAUCUACUAGAACAUUAUUGACGCUGAGACGCGAAAGCGUGGGGAGCAAACAGGAUUAGAUACCCCUGUAGUC
rnacentral:rRNA from 1 species